AUGCCUGAGGGUUUUUUGGUGCAUUUUUGUUCUCGAUUAGUGUUGUCCCACCUUUUUUUUUUUUUAGGUGACAAUCACUGCUAUCACCUCUGCUGCCCUCCUGUCAUCCCAAAGUGUCUGCUUUUGACUGAUGAGCCUCUGUUCCUCGCACCCUUGUUGCUGCUGCCUCCACAAGCAGUUUGGCUCCUGCUUGGAGCACAAGGUCAUCUGCCUGGCAGGGCUGAGGGGUUGUUCCAGGCCAUGCCUCCGCAGCAGCAGGAUCUAAAUUAUUUCGUGCACCCUCACCAGAAUUCGUGCAGAGCUAUAGGACAGCAAUCUGUUGAGAACCAGGCAUCGUUGUUUCCACUGCUUAUGAAACUGCUGGAAAAGACAAACACAAGGAAAGUAAGAAACCAACAAGUCACACUUCAUUUACAAUUGAACCAGUAAGGUAGAAUUGGUCUGCUCUCUGGACAGCAGUGAGAGAUGAUGGUAAGGAGCGGAGGGAGAGGGCCGCAGGGACUGGGCUGACUGCCACCUUUUUUUUUUUUUUUUCCCCAGUGUCUCCUGUCUCUCCAUUCACUGGUGCACCACGAGUCAGACCAGUGUCGAGGUUGUUGUAAGGGCAGAAGCAGGAACAUGAGGUCAGGAGGAGGAAGGAGCAGGGACUGUGUUUCUGGACAGCAACAACCCAUCAGCUGGGUGCAACUGUUGUAUGAAACCUCAUCCCAAGACUAGUGACAAAGAAAAUCUUUGUUCCAUGUAUUUUACUACUGAUGUGUAACCACGUUCUCUGUGUUUUGAGAACUUGAUUUGCUGGAAGUGCAAAGUGUUGAUUUAAUCCCUGAAAAAAAUCUUCCUUGGUACUUUUGUAUCAUUUAAAUGAUUGUUGAAUGCUUUAUUAAGUAUCCUCAUUGUGGAUACUGUGUAUUCUGGAAAAGCUUGCUCUAACUUUUGCCUCAGGGGUGAAGGCAAUGCUAAGAGACUAAUGUUUAAAUUUGUUUGGAUGUUUUGUAGGGAAAUGGGUACAAGGAACAGGUACGAGAGAAAAGGAAAGCUUAUCCUCUUCGUAUCUUCUAUAAGAAUUGUUCCCAGAGGAAGCAUUCCCUUAUUUAACUCCUGGGGUUAGAGCUUUUGGGUAGAACUUGUUCUUACCUCAUGGGAGGUGAAAAUCUGUUUAAGGAAAUGGUUCAAAAUAUUCCUGCUCUUGCUCUCACAGCCUGACAGCUUCAAAUGCCAAUUACAGUAUGUAUUUUCACUUUGUGUAGCUGUGUAAAAGAUGCUGAAAAUUUAUUUCCUAACUUUCCGAAGUGCAGAAGAAAGUGUCUGCAACAUGUAAAACUGCAUGCUCUGAUCCCUUCUCUGCGAAAACAAAAGCCAAGAAGUCUUCCAGGGGAAAAUAACCUCUUGGGUGGAUCAGCUGCUGGAAUUUCCUCUUUCACUGGAGGCCCCGAGCUGCUGGUGAUGGCAGUUUGUCUCAUCCAGGGCUUCUGUUAUAUUUCACUCAGUUUCACCAGCAGUGCUUAGAGAGCUUUUUUCAUUUGCAGUGUCUUCUACUUGAUGAUAGAGGGAGGAUGAUUCUCUUCUAGGCUGGAAUUUUUUCCCCUCAUCCGUUGCUUCUCUCCUUAGUCUCUCAUUGACUGGGAGGAGCUUUGUAAGCAGAAGGCUUGGUAUCAGCAGGCCUGUUGCAGACCUUCGUUAUAAUUAAGCAGAGCUCUGUGAGGAACAGAUAUUUUGUGCCAUCCGUACUCUGAAUGCUGACCUUAACCCUGUCGUUAUUCUCUUCCCCAGAAUAAAGUUGUGACUUCCUGCA
rnacentral:lncRNA from 1 species